rnacentral:rRNA from 1 species
GCCAACGGCCAAACCACGUUGAAUAUCCCGGUUCUUGUCCAAUCACCGAUGCUAAACAACGCUAGGCCCGGGGGUACUUGGAAGGGUGACCGCCUGGGAACACUGGGUGUUGAUGGCA